rnacentral:lncRNA from 1 species
GACUAGCCUGAAAAACUAGUCGAUUAUCAACUAUUUUCGCAUUAAAGUUGAAAAACAAUUGAUCAACAAUCGAUUGUCAUUGACUAACAAUCGAUUGUCUUGAAACAGUAAGGUCUGAAAUUUUUCAAAAAUCAUCCACAAUCGAUUGUCGUUGACUAACAAUCGAAUGUCUUGAAACAGUGAGGUCUGGAAUUUUUCAAAAAUCAUCCACAAUCGAUUGUCUUUG